rnacentral:rRNA from 1 species
UAGAGUUUGAUCCUGACUCAGGACGAACGCUGGCGGCGUGCCUAACACAUGCAAGUCGAGCGGUCUGAUGUUCAAUUUAUUAAACAAAAGGCAGCGGCGGACGGGUGAGUAACACGUGGGUAAUCUGCCCUACGGACCGGGAUAACAUACCGAAAGGGGUGCUAAUACCGGAUAAAGUCAUCAUAUGGCAUCAUAAGAUGAAGAAAGGAGAAAUCCGCCAAAGGAGGAGCCCGCGUCCCAUUAGUUAGUUGGCGGGGUAAAAGCCCACCAAGGCGACGAUGGGUAGCCGGCCUGAGAGGGUGAACGGCCACACUGGAACUGAGACACGGUCCAGACUCCUACGGGAGGCAGCAGUGGGGAAUAUUGCGCAAUGGGGGGAACCCUGACGCAGCAACGCCGCGUGAGCGAAGAAGGCCUUCGGGUUGUAAAGCUCAAUAGUAUGGGAAGAUAAUGACGGUACCACACGAAAGCCCCGGCUAACUACGUGCCAGCCGCCGCGGUAAUUCA